GAUGAACGCUGGCGGCGUGCCUAAUACAUGCAAGUCGAGCGAACGGACGAGAAGCUUGCUUCUCUGAUGUUAGCGGCGGACGGGUGAGUAACACGUGGAUAACCUACCUAUAAGACUGGGAUAACUUCGGGAAACCGGAGCUAAUACCGGAUAAUAUUUUGAACCGCAUGGUUCAAAAGUGAAAGACGGUCUUGCUGUCACUUAUAGAUGGAUCCGCGCUGCAUUAGCUAGUUGGUAAGGUAACGGCUUACCAAGGCAACGAUGCAUAGCCGACCUGAGAGAGUGAUCGGCCACACGAGAGCUGAGACACGGUCCAGGCUCCUACGGGAGGCAGCAGUAGGGAAUCUUACGCAGUAGGCGAAAGCCUGACGGAGCAACGCCGCGUGAGUGAUGAAGGUCUUCGGAUCGUAAAACUCUGUUAUUAGGGAAAAACAUAUGUGGAAGUAACUGUGCACAUCUUGACGGUACCUAAUCAGAAAGCCACGGCUAACUACGUG
rnacentral:rRNA from 1 species